AUGAAGGGUUUAUGGGCAAAGAAGCAAGCAAAGGUGAAGAGAAGCAACUCAAACAGGUGGAAGCAGAGCAGCCACAGAAGAGGGAAGAGAUAGUGUUCUGCACUUUGGUAUUGAUAGAACCCACCGAAAGAAUAGAGAACCCACUAAAAAAAAAUAAUAAGUCCUCUGCUUCCUUAUCUUUCAAUUACUUUAGUAUUAUCCUACACUAUUUAACUUGCUCUG
rnacentral:lncRNA from 1 species